rnacentral:rRNA from 1 species
GAUGAACGCUGGCGGCGUGCUUAACACAUGCAAGUCGAACGAAGCACUUUGAACUGAUUCUUCGGAUGAAAUUCUUAGUGACUGAGUGGCGGACGGGUGAGUAACGCGUGGGUAACCUGCCUCAUACAGGGGGAUAACAGUUAGAAAUGGCUGCUAAUACCGCAUAAGCGCACGGUACUGCAUGGUACAGUGUGAAAAACUCCGGUGGUAUGAGAUGGACCCGCGUUGGAUUAGCUAGUUGGCAGGGUAACGGCCUACCAAGGCGACGAUCCAUAGCCGGCCUGAGAGGGUGGACGGCCACAUUGGGACUGAGACACGGCCCAGACUCCUACGGGAGGCAGCAGUGGGGAAUAUUGCACAAUGGGGGAAACCCUGAUGCAGCGACGCCGCGUGAGCGAAGAAGUAUUUCGGUAUGUAAAGCUCUAUCAGCAGGGAAGAAAAUGACGGU